rnacentral:lncRNA from 1 species
AUUAACCUGCUGAGAAAGAAAGUCACAGGAGUGGUGGAAAAAAUUGAGAUGAAGCUAUUGGAAGCCUCAGGGAGUAAGUCGAACCAAGCGCAACUAUGACUUCAUUUGAUGAAGAAAGUUGGCUUAACGGAAUAAAAAUCCUGAAGUGUAAUGACGACCAGACGCUAACAUACGUAAGGGAAGCGGUCAGAACGCCCAUCAUAAUGUGUGGGCCAGUUCCGAAAUUACUGAGAGAGGACCAACCCCCAGAAACGUCCUAAACAUAAAGCUUUACGCUGUAAGGGAAAUAAACAUAAUGGGCAAUCCGUUCAUUCGACUUAAACAAAUCUCCCGAUACUGCUGAAGUCAUUCCAGUAAUUCUGCAAAAUCCAUUUUGUCCAUCCGUGCUGUGACUAAAGGCGAUUUUUAGGGGUUACCUGAAGUUCAGCACUCAUGGAGAGAGAAUAGAGAAAAUCUUGGACAUGCACAUAAGGGCCUGGAAGCUUGUCCAAGGCACAAUACGCAUACAUCCUGGACAUUUUUGAGCAAUCAACAAAAUUUUUAUCAAAUCUAUUCUGAAUAGUAUCGAGUCAAUAGGAGUUGAUCCUGCCAUAGAACGUUUUUUGAUUUCUAGAAGGACAAGAGCAAAAUGGUUCGACGCUAGAAU